GUGACCUCGGAUCAGCAGGAUACCCGCUGAACUUAAUCAUAUCGUAACC
rnacentral:rRNA from 1 species